CUUGCGUCAUUCACGUUGCUUUUACUAUAAUCAAAAUUUUAUAGAACUACGGAUAAUAAAUUUUUUUUUGUAAAAAUGUUUGGUAACGUUCCUCCUCCAUCCCAAUCGCAGCCCGGAUUCUUUGGAUUUAUCAAAAGUUGUUACAAAGACUCUACUAAAUGGGAUAUGAUUAAAAGCUGGACAAUGUUUGCUUUUGGUGUUUAUAUUUCAAAAGAAAUUUGUAGUAUUGAUCUUACAGCUCCGCCUUCUCCUGCAUAGAUUAUUAAAUAUCAUAGCUUCUAGUGAAUGUUCAAGUGCAAAAAGUGUAAAUAGUAUUCACACUAUUAAGUUUGAUACCAUCUGUAUAUUUCAUUAAUAUGUAAUGAAAAGGAAAUAAAUCUGCAUUAACUUGCUCUUCUGUUUUAUUG